GCGUUAUCGGCCAAAUUAACAAUACAGAAGGAAGCUCUGAAACUGCGACACAAAUUCACUUCUUUCUCUUCGGUGCAGAGUCAGUUCUACAAUAGUUCGGCCAUCUUCCUGCUCAAGAUGACUACCGACACAACGAUCCUGUCGGUCUAGACAUAAACUCCACGAAUCAGCCUGAUCUGAAAUAUGGGUCACUAUUUAGGAUCUUGUUUGAAUCGACCCUGAAAGUAGAAUAUUGCAUCAGAACGACAAGGUUCUAAAUCAAGGUUGACCAGCAUGAUAUGGCUGUUGAUGUUCUCCAUCAAAGCUUGUUUCCACGAUGCUGUUCUUGCGCUCUGUUACGGUCGCUCGAAGAUACUCGGGAAUUAAGUGUGCCUAUCCUGGAAAGCUGAGCAAAGUCGCUCUCCGCCAGAGAACCUGUUUCAUUGAUUCUGGUGCAUGUGUAGUGAAAUAUGUUGUCGAUGACACUCAGUGAAGUGUUCUGAUACUCCAAUUCAUAACAAAAAAUUGGUGUAAAUAAAAUCAAUAAUAGUAGCACUAACAAUAAAAUCUUCAUGCAAAUCUUCAGAGUGGAAAUCGGAACGUUGGCAGGGUGAGAUCAGAAAUUCUAAUCAGAAAGUGGUAAUGAAUCUGGGGUGUUGGUUCAGCCUUGUUGCACGAUCCUUGAAGUUCGUGGCACACUUUGAAGCUAUUGCCUUCGGUUCACAUAUCGUCGAGGACUAGAUGAUCUAACAGUACCAUCGAACACGAAGCUCGGUAUUCAUCUGGUGUUGUAAAACACUAGUAAGCUGAUUGAAAUCAGUGUAUGGCGCAGAAGUCUUGAUUUCACAAAUAAUAUUUUCUGCGCUCAUGUCAAUAAAAACGUUGAUGUUAUCUAUCACGACCCCAUUCCCCUUAAAGUAUUAGUUUGUGUACAAUGAAAAACACACGACAAUGGAUGCCAGAUUGUGGGAAAGUUACCAAAACCUCUGCAUAAGUCGCUGAUUUUGCUGAAGUUCUCAGCGUACGGCGAAGAAUCCGAUAAGCGUAGUUUGUAUAUGAUUGAAGCUGCCAUCUGGUCCAACGAAACAUGCUAACAGUUAAGGUCUGGCGAUGACGCAUACAAGGUCUCCGAAAGUCAACACACAUAGCGGAUGGCGAGAAAUAUAACCAAGGACGAUAAGGUCACUGGGCCUCGAGAAAUGAAACAGAAAAUAAAACAGAGAAAAUUUAGCCUACCGAAAAGGGUGACAUGGCAAGAAAAGGGUGUUUCCCAUGGAUCGGAAGAAAAGACCAAGGUCGGAUAAAGUUUGAACGAGACUCAAAGUGCAGGCGAUGCAAAGCACAUUCUGCGCCAUCAACACCACGGGGAUCGCGUGAAGCUCGCAAUCGGCCAAUGGCCCCAAGGCGCUACAGGAGGAAGCCAAGAGGGUGCUUCAGCAGGGGUCCAAUAUCGACGAACGCCAAGUACAGGGACAAGCGACUGAACAUAAACCCGAGGGCCUUGCCAAUCGUGCUCCAUCCGGAUCACAGUCCGCGAGAGCAAAUCGUGUUGCUCGCCUGCCAGAGCCCCAGACGAGGGUGCGUCGACCAUCGCUGCCACAAACACCGAGGGUGGUGCACUAUUUCCUAGGCACAACCCCACUCUCCUCGGUCCAUCCUUCGCGGCAGUGCACUGAACUUUAUAGGGACUUGGCGGUGGAUUCAAGACAGGAACGGCGAUCAGGCUUUGAAUGGAUAGAUGUUCAUCUUGCGGUUAGACUUUUUGGGUAGAUGAAAUCAGGGCGAAGAUUUCUUUUGUGUUGAAUGUAAAUCAUGGCUAAUGUCCAUCCUUGUCUUUUGGAGCAGUAAGUUUAGACCAAUAUCAUGUUGUGGUCCAUGAUUUUUUCUCUAUGCAAUGGAUUUGUUGAUGUUAUUACGAAUAAUAAUAAUAAUAUUUAUAUAUAUAUAUAUAUAUAUAUAUAUAUAUUUUUGAUA